rnacentral:rRNA from 1 species
UACAGAGGGGGCAAGUGUUGUUCGGAAUUAUUGGGCGUAAAGAGCUUGUAGGCGGUUUGUCGCGUCUGCUGUGAAAAUCCGGGGCUCAACCCCGGACUUGCAGUGGGUACGGGCAGACUAGAGUGUGGUAGGGGAGACUGGAAUUCCUGGUGUAGCGGUGGAAUGCGCAGAUAUCAGGAGGAACACCGAUGGCGAAGGCAGGUCUCUGGGCCACUACUGACGCUGAGAAGCGAAAGCAUGGGGAGCGAACAGG